AGAGUUUGCAAUGCCCAAAGCCGGUGGCCUAACCUUCGGCAAGGAGCCGACUAAGGCAGGGCAGAUGACUGGGGUGAAGUCCUAACAAGGUAGCCGUACGAGAACCUGCGGCUGGAUCACCUCCUUUCUAAGGAAGCGAAGGAUAUGGAGAGUAGAAAUACUAAGAGAAGUAUCCAGAGCAAGCGGAAGCACACUGAGAAACUUUGCUUAGUUUUGAGGGUAACUCCUCAAGAGAGUUACUACAUUGAAAACUGAAUAUAAUCCAAUCAAAACACCGCCACACUAAAGGAGAACAUACUGUAGAGCGACCGAUAACAGAAUUCUUGAAUUAGGUCAAGUAGAAAAGGGCGCACGGUGAAUGCCUUGGCACUAAAAGCCGAUGAAGGACGCGACUAACUACGAAAGUCUUCGGGGAGCGGUAAGUAGGCUAUGAUCCGGAGGUCUCCGAAUGGGGGAACCCAAUGCAGCGAUGCAUUAUUGAAUUAAGUGAAUACAUAGCUUAAGGAGGGAACACGCAGCGA
rnacentral:misc_RNA from 1 species